CCUACGGGUGGCAGCAGUGGGGAAUAUUGGACAAUGGGGGCAACCCUGAUCCAGCAAUGCCGCGUGAGUGAUGAAGGCCUUCGGGUUGUAAAGCUCUUUCGCCCACGACGAUGAUGACGGUAGUGGGAGAAGAAGCCCCGGCUAACUUCGUGCCAGCAGCCGCGGUAAUACGAAGGGGGCUAGCGUUGUUCGGAAUGACUGGGCGUAAAGGGCGCGUAGGCGGCGCAUCAAGUCGGGCGUGAAAGCCCCGGGCUCAACCUGGGAACUGCGUUCGAGACUGGUGUGCUAGAGUUCGGGAGAGGAGAGUGGAAUUCCCAGUGUAGAGGUGAAAUUCGUAGAUAUUGGGAAGAACACCAAUGGCGAAGGCAGCUCUCUGGACCGAUACUGACGCUGAGGCGCGAAAGCGUGGGGAGCAAACAGGCUUAGAUACCCGAGUAGUC
rnacentral:rRNA from 1 species